ACAUGUGAAGCUUUCUUGCCAAUCUUCAUUGAACUCACACUUCAAAAGUCAUGGUUUUCUCUUUGUUUUAUUGUAAUUUUCUGUUUUAUUAUAAAGAAGAUUGCAGAAAAGAGGCAGAAUAGGAGAGCUGAAAGACAAAAAAAGAGUAUCUAAACAACAGAGGACACAUACUGGAAUCUCUGGAGCUCAUCCCUUCAGAGGGCCCUUCCCAGAAGAACUGUAUCUCCACUUCCUCGGUUCUCUGGAAUAAAUUACAACCUUAUGACUCAUGAGUCCAAACAGGACAGUCUUUACGUCUACCCAUCUUAUGACUGAUGUGGCUCUCAAGGAACAAUAAAACCUAAGCAAAUUAUGGGAACAAGCAUUUAUCAACCACGCAAAUGAAGCCAUUCUUUGUAUGUAUUAUGCAUCUCAAUCUCCAUAUAUGGUUAUCAACGUAAUAAUUCAAGUAAAGAGUUUUUCUACACCAGGAGUUCCAAAAUCAAGCUACAUUCAAAGAGAGAAACAACACAUUGGAUACUCAAGUUAUGAACCGUGAGAAGAGUCAGAAAUUCCUUAUAGGAUAGAACAUGUGCAAUUGAAAUCUAAUAUUAAGUUUUCUGUGGAAAAACACAUAUAUGUGUACUAUAUGGCUAUCUGAUCAUUUUAAAAACAUACUCAGAAUACUUUAAUAAAACACUGGUACUCAGAGUGGAGCAAGAUGGUGGAAUAGAAGGCUCCACCAAUCGCUGCACAUUACCCCCAGCAAGGACACCAAUUUAACAACUAUCUACACAGAAAAAAACACCCAUAUAAGAACCGAAAUUCAGGUGAGCCCUCAUAGUACCUGGUUUUUAACUCCAUGUUACUGAAAGAAAUACUGAAGAGAUAGAAAAAAAAAAAAAAA
ensembl:lncRNA novel transcript